rnacentral:rRNA from 1 species
AACGAACGCUGGCGGCGUGCCUAACACAUGCAAGUCGAGCGUGAAAGUCCCUUCGGGGGCGAGUAAAGCGGCAGACGGGUGAGUAAUACAUAGGUAAUCUACCUUCGAGAUUGGGAUAACCCCGCGAAAGUGGGGCUAAUACCGGAUAAGACCACGUGACUUACGUUGCGCGGUAAAAGGUGGCUUUUUCUUCGGAUGAGGCUAUCACUUGAGGAUGAGCCUAUGGCCUAUCAGCUUGUUGGCGGGGUAAGAGCCCACCAAGGCUAUGACGGGUAGUUGGUCUGAGAGGAACUCCAACCACACUGGAACUGAGACACGGUCCAGACUCCUACGGGAGGCAGCAGUGGGGAAUAUUGGGCAAUGGGCGAAAGCCUGACCCAGCGACGCCGCGUGGGUGAUGAAGGCCUUCGGGUUGUAAAGCCCUGUCAUGCGGAAAGAACAGUCUCAUGGCUAAUAUCCAUGAGAUUUGACGGUACCGCAGGAGGAAGCACCGGCUAACUCCGUGCCAGCCGCCGCCGUAA